rnacentral:snRNA from 1 species
AGCUUUGCACAAUGGCAGUAUUGUAGCCAUUGAGGUUUAUCGAGGUGCGUUUGUUGCUAAUUGAAAAAAAUAGACUCCA